rnacentral:rRNA from 1 species
GAUAAACGCUGGCGGCGCACAUAAGACAUGCAAGUUGAACGGACUUAAUCGAAAUAUUUAUAUUUUGAAGCGGUUAGUGGCGGACUGGUGAGUAACGCGUAAGGAACCUGCCUAUUAGAGGGGAAUAACAGUGAGAAAUCAUUGCUAAUACCGCAUAUGCCAUAGAUAUCACAUGAUAACAGUGGGAAAGGAGCAAUCCGCUAAUAGAUGGCCUUGCGUCUGAUUAGAUAGUUGGUGGGGUAACGGCCUACCAAGUCGACGAUCAGUAGCCGGACUGAGAGGUUGAACGGCCACAUUGGGACUGAGAUACGGCCCAGACUCCUACGGGAGGCAGCAGUCGGGAGUAUUGCGCAAUGGAGGAAACUCUGACGCAGUGACGCCGCGUAUAGGAAGAAGGUUUUCGGAUUGUAAACUAUUGUCGUUAGGGAAGAGAAAGGACAGUACCUAAGGAGGAAGCUCCGGCUAACUACGUG